CUAGUCUUCUGCGCUCGUGGAGCCUCCACGCGUGCACAUCAGUCCUCCUUCACAACCGUGUACUCAAUUCGCCUCCUCGCUGAAGCCGAGCCGCCUGACUCCGCCUCCUGCGACUCUGUGUUCCGGGGCGCUUCGGAGACGGAGCAUGUGGUUUGUUAAAUCCUCAGCAACAUAAUCAUGGAACAUUUAGGGCAAAGCGAGGAAGCUCCUGACAAGGUCAUGCAACAUCCAGAGACCUCAAGUUCCUGCCUUCAAAGAAAUAAAAAUAAAGGUGUUCAACAUGCAGCAACAAUAACUUGAACUCCUGCAAUGUACAGAUUUCCUUAUUAAGAGCUGUGAUGACGGGGUGUAGCUCUGGAAGUAAAGCCAUCACUCAUCUUAUUCCUACUUGAGGGGGAUCUCUCAAGGUGUGAAAUAUUGGUGGGACACAGCACCCAGCUUCAUCCACAGAAGUGGAAGGAUACAUCUCCUGCUUCCCCUCCCUCUCUUGGGACUGUGAAUCCAGAACAACUGACAGACAGUUUGACAGGAAUGGUUAGUAUCUAGUUGCAGUUUCGAUAAUACAUAGCCUUGGGCAGGGUGUCUCACAGACUACUCCAGCUAGAAGAAGGUGAUGUGCUUCUUGGUGGUUCCUAGGACCCCUUCGGUGCAGGUCAUCUUCCAAUCUUGGCCAUCCAGUUUCCCUUUGAUUCCAGAAGCCCCUUCACCUAUGACAUCCUUUCAUUAAAUUAUUUGGGGGAUUUUUUGUUUGAUUAGAUUAUCAGUUUGUUUCUGCUGUUUGCAAUCAAUAACCUUGAUAAUUCAGAGAAGGCGAAAGGGAGAAUUACAGAGAAAAAGUUCUGGAAUACCCACUAGACCUCAACCAAGCAGAAACCAAAUAUCUCUUUUACCUAAUAAAAUACAAAACCAUUGACAUGAAACCUUGGAGUCCCAUGACUUAGGAUCGGGGUAAAGAAAGUAUGUUCAGCAAAUAUCUAGUUCAUUCCAGGUGCACAGGCUGUGAUCUUAUCUUCAAAGACUUUCCCCACAGGGCUGACUUGGGUGGGUGGGCACUGAGUUUUGUUUUUCCUUUCUCUUGUCAGUAAUGGUUUGCAGAGAGCAGAGAGAGUGGAAUUGGUUCUUUGGGUAUGAGAAGUGGGGCAAAGGCAGAGUCAGCCAGGACUUGAACCUUCUUCAGUGUGACCCAGAGAUUAGGCAACUUUCCAAACCCUAGUACAGUUUUUUUAAACUUUCCCUUUCCCUUGGGGUGUGGGACAUGCUUGAAAAUUCUUACUCAACAGUA